rnacentral:rRNA from 1 species
UAAGCGGAGGAAAAGAAACCAACCGGGAUUGCCUUAGUAACGGCGAGUGAAGCGGCAAAAGCUCAAAUUUGAAAUCUGGUACCUUCGGUGCCCGAGUUGUAAUUUGGAGAGGGCAACUUUGGGGCCGUUCCUUGUCUAUGUUCCUUGGAACAGGACGUCAUAGAGGGUGAGAAUCCCGUGUGGCGAGGAGUGCGGUUCUUUGUAAAGUGCCUUCGAAGAGUCGAGUUGUUUGGGAAUGCAGCUCUAAGUGGGUGGUAAAUUCCAUCUAAAGCUAAAUAUUGGCGAGAGACCGAUAGCGAACAAGUACAGUGAUGGAAAGAUGAAAAGAACUUUGAAAAGAGAGUGAAAAAGUACGUGAAAUUGUUGAAAGGGAAGGGCAUUUGAUCAGACAUGGUGUUUUGUGCCCUCUGCUCCUUGUGGGUAGGGGAAUCUCGCAUUUCACUGGGCCAGCAUCAGUUUUGGUGGCAGGAUAAAUCCAUAGGAAUGUAGCUUGCCUCGGUAAGUAUUAUAGCCUGUGGGAAUACUGCCAGCUGGGACUGAGGACUGCGACGUAAGUCAAGGA